GACCUGCUGGUGCAAUGGUAGCACACCCGCUUUAUAUAAGAUUUUCUCAGUCAUUGUUGGGCGAGUGAUCCUUGUUCGAUUCAAGGGCAGGUUA